rnacentral:other from 1 species
CGAAUCCUGAAGUGUUUGUGAAUGCUCUAAUAAUAGUUUUGACCGAACAAUAAAUCGUUGGGAGUCCAUAUUUUGGUUUGGCAAACAAGCCCUGCACACUAUAAGAGGGACGUUUAAAGAAUUGAAGCGGACACCCCCCUGCAAGGGCUGCGGGUUCAAAACGUCUGGCAAUGCGGCACAAUCGGGAUUCGC